rnacentral:rRNA from 1 species
GAUAAGCGCCGGUAAGGUGAUAUGAACCGUUAUAACCGGCGAUACCCGAAUGGGGAAACCCAGUGUGACUCGUCACACUAUCAUUAACUGAAUCCAUAGGUUAAUGAGGCGAACCGGGGGAACUGAAACAUCUAAGUACCCCGAGGAAAAGAAAUCAACCGAGAUUCCCCCAGUAGCGGCGAGCGAACGGGGAGGAGCCCAGAGCCUGAAUCAGCAUGUGUGUUAGUGGAAGCGUCUGGAAAGGCGCGCGAUACAGGGUGACAGCCCCGUACACAAAAGCGCAUGUGCUGUGAGCUCGAUGAGUAGGGCGGGACACGUGGUAUCCUGUCUGAAUAUGGGGGGACCAUCCUCCAAGGCUAAAUACUCCUGACUGACCGAUAGUGAACCAGUACCGUGAGGGAAAGGCGAAAAGAACCCCGGCGAGGGGAGUGAAAAAGAACCUGAAACCGUGUACGUACAAGCAGUGGGAGCACCCUUUGGGUGUGACUGCGUACCUUUUGUAUAAUGGGUCAGCGACUUAUAUUCUGUAGCAAGGUUAACCGAAUAGGGGAGC